AAAAGGUAAAAAAAAAUCCUGAUUAAUUGAUUGCCGGUUCUUCAUCAAUACGUGUCGAGAUCCCCACCGUGAUAUCGGGAUGAUCACAAAUAUUACGGCCUUUUGUUGGUCGUUCUUGAUUGCCCGACAAUGUUCUUUGAAAUCGUUCAAGACUCGGAAUGAUUCCGAACCAUGACCCUGAUAUCUCGAGGGUGGGCGUAAUCAUAC
rnacentral:lncRNA from 1 species